UACGUAGGGUGCGAGCGUUAAUCGGAAUUACUGGGCGUAAAGGGUGCGUAGGCGGGCAUUUAAGUCAGUGGUGAAAUACCUGAGCUUAACUUGGGAACUGCCAUUGAUACUAUUUGUCUUGAAUGUCGUGGAGGUUAGCGGAAUAUGUCAUGUAGCGGUGAAAUGCUUAGAUAUGACAUAGAACACCUAUUGCGAAGGCAGCUAACUACGCGAAUAUUGACGCUGAGGCACGAAAGCGUGGGGAUCAAACAGG
rnacentral:rRNA from 1 species